rnacentral:rRNA from 1 species
ACGUACACUCCUACGGGAGGCAGCAGUGGGGAAUAUUGCACAAUGGGCGCAAGCCUGAUGCAGCGACGCUGCGUGGGGGAUGAAGGCCUUCGGGUUGUAAACUCCUUUCGCUAGGGACGAAGCUUUUUUGUGACGGUACCUAGAUAAGAAGCACCGGCUAACUACGUGCCAGCAGCCGCGGUAAUACGUAGGGUGCGAGCGUUGUCCGGAAUUACUGGGCGUAAAGGGCUCGUAGGUGGUUUGUCGCGUCGUCUGUGAAAUUCUGGGGCUUAACUCCGGGCGUGCAGGCGAUACGGGCAUAACUUGAGUGCUGUAGGGGUAACUGGAAUUCCUGGUGUAGCGGUGAAAUGCGCAGAUAUCAGGAGGAACACCGAUGGCGAAGGCAGGUUACUGGGCAGUUACUGACGCUGAGGAGCGAAAGCAUGGGUAGCGAACAGGAUUAGAAACCCUAGUAGUCCC